rnacentral:rRNA from 1 species
AUGGCUGUCGUCAGCUCGUGCCGUGAGGUGUUGGGUUAAGUCCCUUAACGAGCGCAACCCCUAUCUUUAGUUGCCAGCACUUUCAGGUGGGCACUCUAAAGAAACUGCCUACGUAAGUAGAGAGGAGGGAGGGGAUGACGUCAAGUCAUCAUGGCCCUUAUGCCCGGGGCUACACACAUGCUACAAUGGUGGGUACAAAGGGAAGCCACUUGGCAACAAGGAGCUAAUCCCGAAAGCCCAUCACAGUUCGGAUUGGAGUCUGCAACUCGACUCCAUGAAGCUGGAUUCGCUAGUAAUCGUGGAUCAGCAACGUCACGGUGAAUACGUUCCCGGGCCUUGUACACACCGCCCGU